rnacentral:lncRNA from 1 species
GAUUCUUUUUUCAGUAUUUAUUACAAGUCGUACAAACAUUUUAAAAAUAAAUUAACAUUUUAUAAUUGACUUAAAAUUGUAAAUUUACUCCAAUUUAUGUAUACUUCAUGAUUAUGAUCAUUAUUAUUAUGUAAUAAUUUGUUGAAAUUAUGUAUAAAAUAAUAAUUUCUUAAUUAUGUAUUAAAGUUUCACUGCUUGUACUGUUACAUUUUUCUAUUUACUGAAUUCAAAAAACUAAUUCAAAAUUACAUUUAGCAGAAUAAUGUGACAAUAAUAUCUAAAUCUUUUAAAUGGCACCUCUAACUCCUAAAAAUAAUCAUCUUUUCUCAAGCCACACAUGACACUUCUGUCUUUGUUAUCCUUUCAAACAUACUCAUAAAUGUUUGUAAUUUAUUGGUUUUUGUUUUAAAAUCUUGGUUACCUUCUUCAAGAGUAAAAAUAUAUCUUCUACCUCUUCAAAGUAUUAUUUUUCUCUUUUUUACACUAUAUGUACUUAUUUGUUUGUUUGUUAGUUUGUUUUUGUAAUAUCAUUGCUAAUAUUUUUAAACCUAAGUAUGUAUAUUGAAGAAAUUGAUCAAAUCAUUGAAUACCUAAUGAAUAAACGAAUUAGUUGACUACCAUAUAAUGUAAUUAAAAAAUGCAUUAGAUUGAUUAAAGUAAUGAAAAAUAAAUAGUUUAAAAAAUUCAUGGUUUAAUACAUGAUUAAUGCAAAAAAUAUUCAGAAUCUCAUUACAAGAUAAUAGAAAUAUUUAUUUAUAUAUAUAGGCAUUAUUCUUUUUAUCAAUUACACAUUAAGAAUUAACAAUGAAUCUAAAAUUCUAAUGUUUUUAUAGUGCAAGUUGUACCUUGAAAAACAAGAAUAAAAUUCGACAUUAUUGGGGAUCUGGAUAUCUUGCAUAAAUAUUAAUUGCAUUGGAAGAAAUAAAAUUGAAUAAAGAAGUAUAUUAGCUUACAUAAAUGUAGACAUAUUAUUGAGAGAAAAUAAUUAUACUAAAUUUAAAUAAAUUAUUAGUAGUUAUAUGGAACAUAAGAAAACUUACUAAUAAAAUUUUAGCAUGUAAAAUUUUUAUUCAAUAAAACUAAUAGAGUUUUAUAGUUCAUUUAAUUAGAUUGUGACAAAGAUACAUUAAAUUGACUACAUUUUUAGAAUUUUAUAGAGAAAAAUACAUUUUUAAAAUAAUUUAGUAAGAUGUAAAUAAUUGUAUGUGUAUUCAAUUGCUCAAAAUAAAAUAUAUGAUAAACUAAAAUAUGACUUAUAGAAAGAUUUAUAAAGCCAUCAAUAUUCUGAGUUGUUUUGAAAACAAUUGUGCAUGAAAAUCUUUUUUAUAAUUCCAAAAAGAUGCCAAAUCUCAUAAAAUUUAUUGUAUGAAGGAUUACUCUCCUUCAUUAUAUUUGUGGUAAAGAGCACCAUUAUGGAAGAUGGUUUGUAUUGUACUUCUUGGGACUCCAACAAGCCUUAAAAAUUCGGAUUAAUAUGUCAUUUAAUCUUGGUUUUGUCAAAUUGUUUUCCUAAUUGGUGACUAUAUUGUAAAAAUGAAAAUACAUAUAUGUAAGAUCUUCCUUGCUAAUCAAAAACUUUAAAAGAGUGGUGCAUGUGUUGCAAUGUUGCAAGACAACCAUCAAGGGCCUUACAACAAGCUUUUAAAUAAUAACUCGAUGUUGUUCUACAAUAUUUUGAGGCACAUUUCCACAUGUUCUUAAAAUGUUGUGUUUGACUUUUCUUGAUUAGAGUAUACAAUCAGAAAGUUUACAACAUAAAAAUAUAACUUCUACUUUUAAAUGUAUAUACAGAAUAAAUGUUUUUUGUUUUGUGGGGACAAAAUGAAUACAACAUUUGAAAUAUAACAUGGUAAUGCUGCAAUGUAAUAUUGUAUUUGUGUUCUCCAAGAUGAUCAUGAAAAAUACCUUCAUUCUGAACAGGUUGAUUGAAUUUAUUGUAAUAAUAUUUAAAAUAAUUAGGGUUGCGAAGUAAGAAUUAUAAUAUGGUUUGAUAUUUUGAAACUAAAAUUAAAAAAUAAAUAAAUAAAAUAGAAUAAAAACUUCUUGUUGCAAAAACUGUCAAAUUAUAUAUAUUUUCUUUGAUAUUUUGUUUUCUUUUUCUUUUUCAAAAAGAAAAAACAGUGAAACUGAGAAUGUUUGGUAAACUUUGUUUUUGAAAAACAAUUCUAAUUCGUAAACGAAUUAAGAGAAUGUUUUUUACUAUUUGCAUAUUUAGCUAUCUAAUAAUUUAAAAAUAAAAAUAGAUUAACAUGGGAUUUUAAAGUCGUGUUGAAUCGUUUUCACCAUUUAUGUGUUUUGUUCUAAUUGGAAGUCUUCUAGCGUUUACUUGUUUAUGUUUUAUUUUAUUUCAUUUUUUUCAAAAUUACUGCUUCCAAUCAUUCACCAC